GCCGGGCAUGGUGGCGCAUGCCUGUAGUCCCAGUUACUUGGGAGGCUGAGACAGGAGGAUUGCUUGAGCCCAGGAGUUUGAGGUUGCUGUGAGCUAGGCUGCCGCCAUGGCACUCACUCUAGCCUGGGCAACAAAGUGAGACUCUGUCUCAAAAAAAAAAAAAAAAAGAUGUAAAUACAGACAGGGUCUGGCUCUGUCACCCAGGCUGGAGUAUAGUGGUGUGAUUGGAGCUCACUGCAGCCUUCAACUCCUGGGCUCAAGUGAUCCUCCAGCCCCA
rnacentral:sRNA from 1 species